rnacentral:sRNA from 1 species
ACCGCUUUAGAAAAAAAAAAUAAUAAUUAAAUAAUUAAAUAAUAAAAAGCCUUCUCUGACAAAGUUACAUGUCAGAACUUCAACUGACCCACUUCGAGAUAGGACACAUGAUGUCCUCGCCCCCCGAUCAAUUUGUAUUUGUUCAGAACAAUCUCAGUUCUAGCUCCUUCUGAGGACCCGCCCCUUCAUCCGACGGGGCUCCAUUCCUUCUCGAAGGAUCGCAAGACACGCUAACAAUUCAAGAAAAGCGAGGUGGCGAGAAAAUAAAUUGAUGAUGCCAUGAUGCCACGAUGCCACGAUGCCACGAUGCCACGGGGCCAAGUCCCAGUCAACAACCUCAAAUUUGAGCCCCGACAACCCCCACACACUCACAACAUUCUUUCGUUAAACUGUCUUGGAAGAUAUUGCCUUUUUAUCCGGUAAUC